CCUGGCUCCGGUAGCGCCGUCUGGCCAGAUGUAAUGAGCAUUGUGAGCAGCCAUGAGCUGACAGGCUAAUGUGACAGGCAUUACAAGCAGCCAUCAGCUGACAGGCAGUGGCAACCAGAUGAUAAGGCUAAGUAGCUCAAAAGUGUGACGUGUGAGUUUGCAGUAAAAGUAAGAUUAAGGUUUGGAAUGUCCCCGAUGAGGUAAUGUACAGACGCUCAGGCGUCGACCUCAGAUUAAGAGUGUGUUAAAAUAGGAUAAGGAAUGAGAAGAGGUAUAAAAGACCCCAGGAACAGACCUCCGUCGGCUCGUCCGCCCUUGACGACCCGUCAAGUGGACCCGCCGAAGCUCUGCCCGGGACGCAGACACUCUGCCGGAGACGCUCUCCCGUUCGAGACGUCAGAUGCCGGAGGACAUCAUGAGACCUUGAAGCACGUCGCAGCGCGACCCUGCCGCGUCCAACACCACAGGCGCCACGGACUCAGGAACGCAAGGACACUAUACAAUACAUAAGCUGAGGUCGUCGCCCCUGGACCCAGGAAUAAUAUCUGGAUAACCCAAGGUAAGGGUGACCUCAGUCUAAAAAGAAUUGGAAGAAAUGAAAAGUUUCUACC
rnacentral:lncRNA from 1 species